ensembl:lncRNA
UUGAGUGGAUCACUCUGCUGAGAGCGCUGUGCUUUUGAAAUGUGAUGGAGCUCAUCUGCCUGUCCUGGACCAAAGAGGCAGACAGGGCUGGGCUGGUUUGGGCACGGCUGCAGGUUUGUCCUCACUGUUCCUUGCUCAGGGAUAUCACUUCACAAACAGUAAAUAGGCUUCCAGUUUUUAUUUCCAAGUUUAGAUAAAAUGAUCUGUAUUUUCAUUUUCUUUUAGAAAGAAAGCAGGCUGGAGAAGCAUCCCAGAAUGGCUAGAAGCUCAUUAUAAGCUUUUUCUCUCAGAUUCAGUCCCAUUCCCAACAUUUUCCAGUUUGUUGAAGCCAAUAUAUUUGUUUUCAGCAAAUGAAUGCUUUAUGAUGACAACCCCUCUCGUGGGGAAGAUGCCUGCUGGUACCUCCUGGGGCUCAGAAGGGAAGCCUGGGAACCAUUGUUGGUUUUGAGUCCAAAACAGUGCAUUCCUGUGGUGGUAAAAUUACUUCUGUUUUAUUCUUUAUGGAUAUCAAAAUACUGAGUUCAGAGCUUCAUUUAAAACAAUAGCAUUUUGUGCAAGUAAAUAAUCUUGCUUAUGUGCAGUCUUUCUACUUACAAAGUCCAUAUUGAUUCUCCUGUCCCACUGAACAGCCCUGCUCUGCCUAAAAGGCCACUCAGGCCUGCUCAGGAUAGAUGCGAUUUAUCAACAUACUUCUCCAGCCAUAGCUGUAGUGUUUACACACAGUUCAAACAUUCAGCUCUGGCCCCUUCUCCUCAGAUGGAUGAUGUGGAAAUUUUCUGUUCUGAACUAAUUCUUCCUGUUGGCACCUACAGCACUUUUUGUUCAUGUACUUACUGAUUGAUUAGUCCGGCCUCAACAGUUCUAUGCGACCCUUCAGUCUUGCUGUUAACCUAUGCCUGUGCCCAUUCCAGACCACAUCACUCAGUACCACCUCUGCCCUUUCCCUGAGCACCUCCAGGAAUGCUGACCCCACCACCUCCCUGGGCAGCCUGUUCCAAUGCAUCACUUGUGUCUGUACUCAGUGCAGCAGGCUCUGAGCUCUGUGAGAUGCUGUUGUUCAAACAGCAUGGGUGUGCUGUCUGUGAUGUAGCUACUUGGGAUUGUUGCAGGACCCCACCAUGAGCAAGACAGCUGCAGGCAUUUUCUCUUGUCCUUUUCUCUUGUCCUUGUGAGAGGCAGGGCAGGUUGUCCCUGGUGUUACAGCGAGGGGCAGGGACCUCCCUACAGCCCUGGGCUCUGCAGGCGAGCAGGGGAUGAACAUGAGGAACUCUGCAGGCAGACCCUUCCCAGCUGCUCCCUUCUCACCAGGCAGGGCCAGUGCUCCUUAUGGACAGCCUGGGCCCACUCAGCCAUGCAGGCAGCUCCCUGGGCCUGUGCUGCAGCUCUGCUCAGCUUUAUUUUUGUUCUUCUUCCAGUAUUUGCAGUACCCAUUUAUUCCUGAGGCAUGCGAGUCUGACUAAUCCUUCAGGGGUGUCUCAGGGGAGGACCAUCCUACAGAAAAGCAUGUCUCCCUGCAGUGUGAACUCCCACCGGGUGCAUCUGGCUCUGGGACAAGGCUCAUGCAGUGCUGCGGAAGACCCAAUAUCGUAUAAUUUAGAUGCUUUCCACCCUUCCUUCCAGAAGUUGGCAAACUGCUUACCUGCCUCUAAAGCAUCCCCGUUGUUGUGACUCUGUGUCCAUCUCAGCCUCCUGUCACCAGCCUGAAAGACUGAGCUUUUUGCUGCAUGCUUCGGCAGUAGCACCUGCAGAGGUGUAACAGAUGCAGUAAGAAUUGCACCUGCUUCCACUGCUAUCAGAAGUCAAACAGCUGAUUGUUACCUCUCCAGGGGCAUUGGUGAGCUUCAGUCGUUGCUCUCCUAUUUCAAAAUCCCACCUUUAAAAAGAAAAAUAAGACACAAAAAAAGCGUAGAGCCUGGAAAGAAGCUCAAACUUUCUGUCCCCAUCUUUCUGCUUUUUUUUUCUUCCUGUGGAAUAGCAUGGAAAAGUCACCAUCACUGAGAUCUCAGAUAUCUCAGCAGUGUUACAGUGAGGGCCAGAGGAUGAGUUUGAGUGGGCUUUUGUACUUUAAGUUCUAUUGGAUGAAUGUGGAUUUGGAUGUCUAGCAUCUGCGGGGGUGCAUGGCUGCUUGGGUCAGCCCAGACGCUCGUGGGAGUCAUGGGAGUGAACAACCAGCACUUCAUCUGCAGGACCUGCCCCUGCCCUGCAGGACUGUGCUGGAGUCCCACCUCCAGUUCCAUUGCUACUGGAGCCAUUCACCCCAGGGAAAGCCCAGGGCGGGCCCUGGACAGGCACAAUUCAAUGGGAAAGGAAGCAGUACAAACAAGAAGACUGUGUUCUUGGCAGCAGCUGCCUGGAAGACGGCUGGGACGUGCAGCUAAAUAUCUGGCAGAGAAGAGGGCAUCAAAAACCAACAGGAGAGAAUAAAUGAUGUUCCAGCGGGAUGCUAGAAGUGCCACCCUAGCACAGCCCCGUUCCUGCUUACAGAUGCUUGCGAGCUGCUCCCACCCACGGCACAGAUUGGUUAUGAGAGGAAUUCUCUGGUUCCUCAGCCCCAGCCUGGAUGUACGCAUCUAAAUCAUUUAGAAAACUGUUUGAUUCACACUGUUCCCGACGUCACCCACGUGCGAACAAAUCAUACAGUUAUUCAUCAGUCUGAGAUCUUUGUCUUGCAUGAUUUCCAGUGAGAUAAAAAGAACCAGUUGGCAGUUUGAGAAAAAAAAAAACUCAUUUCUGUGAUUUCUCCAAGUUUCCAGUGCCAGCGUGCAGUCAGGAGGAAAUAAAGUGGCUGGAGAACGGCCGAGGAUGCAGGUCUGGCUGACAGGAGCAGGGCACACAGCAGCACAGGUUCCUCACAACCCUUUUAGCUGGGUUAGCUGCCAGCAUUGGCCAGAGCAGUCAGUAAACCAGUCCGGUACAACAGUGCUAAUGCCCUCUCAACUCAGCCUCGAUGUGUUUCUAAACUCCCCCUCUCCCUUGUAGAGAACCCAGCUGUGCUCGUACUGUGUGGAAUCCUUCAAACAGCAAAAAAAAAGAAAAAGAAAAAGAAAAAAAAGAACACGACAAAGUGAAUGCUGCUUCUGCUUCCACCAUCAAAGGACACAUUCAGACUUCAGGCUACUGCCACUGCUGCUGGUGGAGCCGCAGCAGCACGGAAUGGCUGCAGGCCUGGAAACAGGGAGGGUAGAUUGGAUGCACGUUAUCUUGAGCAAAGGUCCUGCUGCUUUUAAAGAUUAGCAGAAUUGUUACCUAUUACUAAAGCUGUCGAGUCAUGGCUGGAGGUGGAAAUCACUGCUCUAAUGGAGUCAUAAUAAUUCCACUACAAAGAAGGAGAGAAAGAGAAGGAAAUUUAAUAAAAGAUGUGCUCACAGGAAGAUGCAGUCUCCGGAGCUAUUUUCUGUUCUGUUUUUGUGUCUGUUGAAAGGAAACACAGAGAUGAAUAAAUAAGAACAAGUUAAGCUCUUUCAAUGGGCACAGACAAUGUAAAUGUGUGACAGAGCCUUUCAUCCUCAGCACUCCUGCCCACAUUCCUGCUUCUCAAACGGCAGUGCAGCUCAGAAAUACAUUUUAUGUUUAUUUUUUACCCAUAUAACUCAAACUCCACUCACUUCCCAGUAAGAAGUCGCAACAGAAGAGAGAACAGUGCCCUCAAGAUGACCCCUUGGCAGAUUUUCAACCUUAGGUAGCUGUUUCCAUGUUCUGGGAAAACAGAGCAGCAAAUGAGGUUCUGCAACAAAGUGGGACCCACUUUCCAGGCCGUCCCUCAAGAGGAUCGGCCAAAAGAAGGGAAUGAGGAGGGGUGUUGGUUUCUUUUCUCCGGUUACAAGUAAUAGGACUCGAAGAAAUGGUCUCAGAUUGCUUUAUGGGAGGUUUAGGCUGAAAAAUAAGAAUAAUUUCUUCAUGGAGGCUGUGGUCAAGCAUUGGA